GUGCUCAUUUUGUCAGCACAUUUACUAAAAUUGGAAUGAUACAGAGAAGAUUAGCAUGGCCCCUGCCAAAAAUAUGCAAUAUUUGUACAUUAAUGUUUUAUUU
rnacentral:snRNA from 1 species